rnacentral:snRNA from 1 species
GUCGAAGGCGUAACGUGCA